rfam:Rachicladosporium antarcticum strain CCFEE 5527 scaffold_70, whole genome shotgun sequence.
GCCCGGAUCGUAUAACGGUUAGUACAAUGGUCUCAUAUCUCGGUAUGAGGUUGCCCAAGGCACCCGAAAUCCAUAAAUCUGAGUUCGAUUCUCAGUCCGUGAG